GCAUUGACGGGGGGCGGGGGUGCCGUCCGGGCUCUUGGUGCCGCCUCUUUGGCUCUGAAGUCUGUGGACCAACCGCAGUUGAAGUUUUUAUUUCGUGAAAUCGGUAGAAAAGAAAACUGCAUUGCUCUGAAGCUCAGCUGACAGAAAGGAGGGUGUGCAGCUACAAGUUCGAGAGCUAUCGGACCCUCAAAAGCCAGGGGUGGGUCCUAGCACUUUGCGCCCCCGACUCUUUACGUAGGUAACGGCGGAUCUGGGGAAUUGGUGGCGUCCGGACCGAGAAGCGCGAGGAAAAAAACGGGUCUGCCCUGAGAGUGUAGAGGAGGCACUGUGUACUCGGGAAAGUGAAGCAGCCAGGGGAGAAAGUGAAACAAUGGCCGGUGCUGGAGGUCGGCUGUAAAAACAACACAACAACAACAACGACAACAGGAAAAAGUAGCGGGGAGAGUGGGAAGGGCAGGCGUCCGCACUGGGGGAUCUAAGGGAGAGAAGAGUGGACCCUGAAAAUGGGAGGCAGUCCACCCUAUAAAGUGUGUGUGUGUGUGUGUGUGUGUGUGUCUGUCUGUCUGUACGCGCGCGCGCGCGCGCCCUAGAGGAGCCAAGCUGUGUUUGGGGUGGGGUGGAUGGAGGGUCUAGGGUGGAAAUGGGUGAGCGGCUCUUCUGUGGGGCAGUUUGUAGAAGGGGUCUACAGCACGGUUAAGUGCAGGAGGUAGAGAUCUACAAUUGAAUAACGUCUGCCCUGGUAUAACUAGGGGAGGUUCUCUAACUUGGAAGUGGGGGUAACUGCAUUGGAUGAUGUGGGGGAGGGGAAAGGAGAAAAGGGUUUACCGCGGAAGAGGGAGGGAUCUACACUGGCGGAAUUGGGGAGGUAGGGGGCCUGCACAGAAGAAGGUGGGGAAAGAAGAGGGGGGCCGUCCGCGCCCACGAACUGCCCUCUAAGCGCAGGCCGGACCAUGGGAACCCCAAAGCCGCGGAUCCUGCCCUGGCUUGUGUCGCAGCUGGACCUAGGGCAGCUGGAGGGGGUGGCCUGGCUGGACGAGAGCCGCACACGCUUCCGCAUCCCUUGGAAGCACGGCUUGCGGCAGGAUGCCCAGCAAGAAGACUUCGGCAUCUUCCAGGCGUGGGCCGAGGCCAGCGGUGCCUACACUCCCGGAAAGGAUAAACCUGAUCUGCCCACCUGGAAGAGGAAUUUCCGAUCCGCCCUGAACAGGAAGGAGGGGCUGCGUUUAGCCGAGGAUCGGAGCAAGGACCCCCACGACCCGCACAAGGUCUAUGAGUUUGUGAUCUCAGGAGCUGGGAACUUUACUGAGUUGCACACAUCACUGGGAACCAAUGGUGGAUGCAGUACCUUGGCUACCCAGGGAGACAUACUAGAGGAGUUACUGAAUGACAUGGCCUUGGCCCCAUUCCCAGAUGGGGGGCCCUCGAGCCUGGCUGUGGUCCCUGAACAGACCCCUCCAUUCUUGCUGAGCCCCACAGUAGACAUCCCUCCUCCCUGCCCAAACUCAGAGCCCCUGGAAAACCCACUGAGGCGGCUCUUGGUGCCUGAGGAAGAGUGGGAGUUCGAGGUGACUGCCUUCUACCGGGGCCGCCAAGUCUUCCAGCAGACUGUCUUCUGCCCAAGGGGCCUGCGUCUGGUGGCUUCAGAAGCAGGGGACGGGACACUGUCUGGACAGCCGAUCAUAUUGCCAGACCCUGGGCUGUGGCUGACGGACAGGGGUGUGUUGGGCUACGUGAGGCGUGUGCUGAGCUGCCUGGGUAGGGGACUAGCUCUGUGCAGGGCAGGACAGCGACUCUGGGCCCGGAGGCUGGGCCACUGCCACACGUACUGGGCCUUGGGCGAGGAGCUCCUCCCUGACAGCAGUCACGGGCCCAGUGGUGAGGUCCCCAAGGAUGAGGAGGGAGACGUGUUCGACCUACGGCCUUUCGUGUCAGGUUGUUCCCACAUGCCUGAGGGCCCUGCUGGACAUGGCACGAUCAGAGGGCGCUUCCUCACUAGAGAACACUGUGGACCUGCACAUUUCCAACAGCUACCCACUCUCUCUCACAUCAGAGCAGUACAAGGCCUACCUCCAGGACCUGGUCGAGGACAUGGAUUUCUAGGCCUUGGGGGAGGUCUGAUCCCUCACUCCUCAUGGGUGCUUCCCCCUCGUGCCUUCACCUUGGCAAUAAACUAUUUCUUGCCACUGUUACCACUUGUGUGCCUGGUGUUGGGUGUCAGCUGGGUUUCAGCUAGGUCCAGGGUAGUCCUGACCUAGACUGGGCCUUAUUCCUUCUUAGGACCUCAGCAUACACAUCUGUGCAAGCAACUCCCACCCUAGAUACUCUCUGCAUGAGGACAGACACUGUGCAGGGGGCAGCUGAUACCUGUGACCUCCUUACCUCUUCCCUGGACCUGGAGAAUGGAUAAGAUCACUGCAGCCUCGGAGGACUGGUAAAAAGAAAAUCCAACUCAAUGGGGAACAAAGGUCCUGUUGCUGGGGCAAUUCCAGGGCAGACCGAUAGCACCCAGGUGCCCUGAGCUUGGAAGACACCGAGCAGGUGGGACCUGGGACCCCAACCUCCCACCCACUGCCACUUUCUGUCAAGAGCAGCCCUGCAUCAGGCUCUCUGCUCAGCAGGGAGCCUGCUUCCCUCUCUCUCUGCCUGCCUCUCCACCUACUUGUGAUCUGUCAAAUACAUUAAAAAAAAAAAAGGUAGAAAAAAAAAAAAGCAGUGGCUGACUAUG